rnacentral:rRNA from 1 species
UACGAAGGGGGCUAGUCGUUGCUCGGAAUCACUGGGCGUAAAGGGUGCGUAGGCGGGUCUUUAAGUCAGAGGUGAAAUCCUGGAGCUCAACUCCAGAACUGCCUUUGAUACUGAGGGUCUUGAGUAUGACAGAGGUGAGUGGAACUGCGAGUGUAGAGGUGAAAUUCGUAGAUAUUCGGAAGAACACCAGUGGCGAAGGCGGCGACCUGGUCCUUGACUGACGCUGAGGCGCGAAAGCGUGGGGAGCAAACAGG